UUGGUGGAUCUGGUGCCUGAGCCGGUUUUUGGUGCGAGGUUUCUGCGAAGACCAAGCA
rnacentral:ribozyme from 1 species